GCCACUCGCUCUUUGGCUGGGCAACUUUGCUAGCUGGGAAAUCUCAUUAAUUUAGUCAUCUUCUUGCCCCGCUUUUGUAGUGCAAAUGAGGCGGCACGGCACAAAGUUCACGUUCCUGCGGUGCUCAUAGACGGUAGCCAGCCUCGGGGACCCUUUUUGCCUCAACAUACCCUAGUCGGGUCCCGUUCCGUUCACGGUCCCAGUCCCAGUCCCAUGGGCACUUUUUGUGUGCCGGGCACAGGCCGUGGCAUAUGAUGUUAUGGGAGAGCGAGUCGUCUUUCGGCUGGAGUUCAACGUACUCCCACUAUGUACGGGCAUAUGUACGUGACAGGCUCGGCGUGGCAUCCACCUGGAGCGGGGUGCCGGAAGCCCAGUGUCCUCGCCGUUCCACUUGAGUGCGCUUUUCCCUUGGCUGCAGUGUCGUCGCCUGUUUAUGGCCUGCUGUCAAAUUAAUUGGCUUUUCCGGCUUCGACUUCGCCUCGGACUAGGACUAGGACUUGGACUUGGACCCAGAGUCCUGGACUGUGCUGAACUGAACUGAACUGAACUGGACUUCUGCUUGACAACUCAUUUCCUCGAGCCUUGAAUUUCUCACGUAGUGCGACGACGCGUGCCAUUUGGCUUGGACCCCGUCUCGGUCUUCGAUUUGGUUUUCGGUAUCGCUGUGUGCAUUGGCCGUCUGCGGGCAAACUUUCCACCCCACCCCCCUCGACACGGACGUGGUCGAAAGCGCUUUGGGGGCCCUGAGCAGCAUCCAGUAAGCAGCAUCCCAAGCCCACUGACAGCC
rnacentral:lncRNA from 1 species